CAUCAAGCACCUGUAUUUAAAAAGCAAAGCAUCAUAUAUCGGAGAGUUAGAAUGUAGAAGCUGUAAAACCUCAGUGGAAUCAAUUUCGAUUUCCAAGGGGGUAUAGUUGAGGUCUACUGCCAUCUGAAGACCUUGGACAAGUGUGUUGAGUUCCAUCUCAAGAUGGUUAUUAGCAGGAAACUUGACACAAUACCCUACUUGCCACUGACCAGUGCAAUCUCUUAUUACUCCCCCGAUCCCUCCUAUUUUGAUGUUGUCCCUAAAAGCUCCAUCAACAUUAAGUUUAUAACUACCACGGUUAAGGGGAUGCCAUUUGAUCAUGAUGGAUUUAUAUGUUUUUCUAGUGGGAUGGUUGUUGGUCAUGUACAUAUAUUCCUGCACACGGGUAAUAACCUGGGCAAUAGAAACAUUAUUUGUGAUAUUAUUGAAAAUGUUAUGGUUUCUAUUUUUUCAGAUAUACCAAAGAGCAAAAGGGUAAAAAUAGCUCCAAUGGAUGCGGGGGUUAUGUAAGGUUGAUUUUACAAGAAGUUAUCAGCACGAAUGCUAGUCUUUGCGCAUCAAGAACCGAUGGUAGCCUGCUGACACAUAAAAUAUGUGGCGUAAGUUAAAUUUCAAUUCCUUUUGUCCACAAGGUAUGUUUGAUUUUUUAUUUUUUUUUGGUAAUGACAAGGUAUGAUUAAAUACUACUUCUUGUUUGCACUGAAUUUUGUUGUUCUGCGACUACCGCCCUACCUAUUAUGUAGAUCUAACAGUGCUUACCAUCCUAAACUUCUGUCACUUUUAAUUAUACUAGAGGAGAGACACACUACAUAUAACCGUUUAACUUCUAAAUGCAGGUGAUUGAUGCAGUCACUGGGGAAUCCAGCAGUCAGGCACACUUACGGGGAGCGAAACAUACUUGUUGAUCUGCUAGCCAAGGAAGGGGCUAAGGGAAGGUCUUUUUGAUGGGAUAAAGAUUUUGGUAGUUCCUCAGAUGUUUACCACUAAUGUUAUAUGGGUAGACAUCCUAGAAACUACAUUUGGCCUCUUUGCUAAGGAAUGUAAUAUUAAUGUGUUGGGCACAUCCAUCAGACAAAUUAAGGGCUUGCCCCCUAUUAACAUGUGCUUCUACAAUUACACUCAUUUGUGGCACAUUUACACGAUCUUGUCUAUCAACUCAUGGUUAUGGAGUGUUGUCUUCCAAAAUCGAGCCAUGGAUUUACAAGAUAGCUUGACUACUCAUCUGCUGUGCCAUUACUUGGAUUUUCACUGAUUUUGUCAAUCCAAGUCUUGGUUUCUGCGCCUCUGCGUGCCUAUACAGACACCUAUCAAAUGGACUCUGGUAAUGUUAUCGUCUCGUAUUUUAAUUUUGGGAUACAAUGUGUAUGCCUUAGCAAUAAGAUGUUGACAGUUCCUCUUGAGUUGUGCCUAUACAAGUACUUAUUUUAGUUCACACUAAGUAGUGUAUGAGAGAAACUGAAGAAGAAGAGGGGAACAAGAAAGGAAAUAAUGAAAACAAAGGGGGAGGUCUUAGCCAGAACCGCAGAAGCAAAUCUAAAUUGGAUUUACUAAGUUCAACUGAAUUUACUGCCUUCAGGUUGAACAAUGUAGGUAUAUAUAUGGAAAUAAAAUUGUGUGUGUCUAUAAAAUAGAUCAGACCAAUACUAAACUCACUAA